rnacentral:miRNA from 3 species
UUGGCAUUCUGUCCACCUCCAU